AAAUUGGACACGAUGUAAACUCUUUCACAUGACGAACUGUUAAAUAAUACUAAUACAUUUUUUUACAAAUAUAUGUACAAUUAAAAUAUUUGUUUUUUUAACACUUAAUUACAUUCAAGAUUCUGCGCUGAGAAGCCACACCCCCUACUUGACCGCAUCGUUGUUUGCGAGAAGGGUCGCUUGUUGUUUGCCCUUGUUGCCCCGCCCCAAUUACGUGAAUGCGGCAGAUGAUUGGAUGCCUGAAAGUGACGACGUCAGUUGCGUCAGUUUACAGGCGUGACAGAGCUGGUAUAAAAUGAGACGAGCGGCCAUGAUUCUUUCUCUGCGGCAGUCCUCGAGAAGCGUGUGCGAUGGUUACGUGCUUUUUCGUCAAAGCAUCUGAAAACUGGUCAAGUAAGAGUCCAUGACGUCCACAGAAGUGAACCUGCUUCUGAAGGCCCAACGCUGGAAUUGGUGUUUCAUUAAUUUGUAUCUGGUCCUUUAUGUAAAAAUGUUGGAACCUGUUUAACCCUUUGUUUUAAGUCUGUAGUCAUGCACCGACUAUUUUUGCCAUAUUUUUUUUGGUCCAGUUUAUAGCAUAUUUAAACGUGUUUCUGUAUUUUGAGCAUUAUUAAUAAACCAUGCGUCUUUA